rnacentral:rRNA from 2 species
UAAUGACUCUCGGCAACGGAUAUCUCGGCUCUCGCAUCGAUGAAGAACGCAGCAAAAUGCGAUACUUGGUGUGAAUUGCAGAAUCCCGUGAAUCAUCGAGUUUUUGAACGCAAGUUGCGCCCGAAGCCUUCCGGCCGAGGGCACGUCUGCCUGGGCGUCACGC